ensembl:lncRNA
CCGGAAACGGCGCCAGCGGCCGGAAUCCCCGGAAAACGGCGAGUCCUGGGGGGGAAACAAGGGGAAAUGGGGAGAAAUCCCGGGAAAACAGGGAGAAAUCCCCGGAAAACGGCGAGUCCUGCGGGGAAACGGGGGGAAAUGGGGAGAAAUCCCCGGAAAACGGCGAGAAAUCCCCGGAAAACGGCGAGUCCUGGGGGGGAAACGGGGGAAAAUAAUGGAAAAUCCCCGGAAAACGGCGAGUCCUGCGGGGAAAACGGGGGGAAAUCAUGGAAAAUCCCGGGAAAACGGCGAGUCCUGCGGGGAAAACGGGGAGAAAUCAUGGAAAAUCCCGGGAAAACGGCGAGUCCUGGGGGGAAACGGGGAGAAAUCAUGGAAAAUCCCGGGAAAACAGGGAGAAAUCCCGGGAAAACGGCGAGUCCUGGGGGGAAACAGGGAGAAAUCAUGGAAAAUCCCGGGAAAACGGGGAGUCCUGGGGGGAAAACAAGGGGAAAUCAUGGAAAAUCCCGGGAAAACGGGGAGAAAUCCCGGGAAAACGGGGAGUCCUGGGGGGAAAACGGGGAGAAAUCAUGGAAAAUCCUGGGAAAAUGGGGAGAAAUCCCCGGAAAACGGCGAGUCCUGGGGGGAAACGGGGGGAAAUGGGGAGAAAUCCCGGGAGAACGGCGAGUCCUGCGGGGAAAUCAUGGAAAAAUGGGGAGAAAUCCCGGGAAAACGGCGAGUCCUGGGGGGAAACAAGGGGAAAUCACGGAAAAUCCCGGGAAAAUGGGGAGAAAUCCCCGGAAAACGGCGAGUCCUGGGGGGAAACGGGGGGAAAAUGGGGAGAAAUCCCGGGAAAACAGGGAGAAAUCCUGGGAAAUCGUGGGAAAAAUCAUGGGAAAACACGGGAAAACGGGGAGCAAUCCCAGGAAAAUGGGGAGAAAUCCCAGGAUAAUCACAGACAAUCCCAGGAAAACGGGAGAAAUCCUGGGAAAUCAAUGCUGGGAAAUCCUGGGAAAACGGGGAGAAAUCCUGGGAAAAUCCUGGGAAAUCCUGGGAAAACGGGGAGAAAUCCUGGGGAGGAGGAACGGGGGAAUUCCGGGGGAAAAUCCGCGGAAUUCCGAAGGGAAGGCUCCGAUUUUGGGGGGAAUGGGGAGAAUUCCAUGAAAAACCCCCGAAUUCUGGGGGGAAUGGGGAGAAUUCCAGGGAAAUCCCGGGAAAAGCCCCGGGGGUUCCCAGGAAUUCCGGGAAUUCCGGGAAUUCCGGGCCCCGGUACCUCCUCGAAGCUCUGCAGGAGCCGCCGGGCGAUCUCGGAAUUCUCCAGCUCCCGGAACAUCUCCGGGGUCACCACACCUGGGGAUUCCCGGGAAUUCCACGUUUUCCCAAAAUCCCAACCCCAGAAUUCCCAACCCCAGAAUUCCCAAACCCAGAAUUCCCCAAAAUCCCAACCCCGGAAUUCCCAACCCCAGAAUUCCCCAUUUUCCCAAACCCAGAAUUCCCAACCCCGGAAUUCCCAACCCCAGAAUUCCCAAACCCAGAAUUCCCAAACCCAGAAUUCCCCAAAAUCCCAAACCCAGAAUUCCCAAACCCAGAAUUCCCAAACCCAGAAUUCCCAAACCCAGAAUUCCCAAAAUCCCAAACCCAGAAUUCCCCAUUUUCCCAAAUCCCAACCCCAGAAUUCCCAAACCCAGAAUUCCCCAAAUCCCAACCCCAGAAUUCCCCAUUUUCCCAAACCCAGAAUUCCACGUUUUCCCGGGAAUUCCACAUUUUCCCCAAUCCCAAACCCAGAAUUCCCCAUUUUCCAACCCCAGAAUUCCCCAUUUUCCAACCCCAGAAUUCCCCAUUUUUCCCUCAAUUUUCCCCACUUUUCCCUGGAUUUAUCCCUCAAUUUUCCCUGGUUUUUCCCAGGUUUUCCCCCCUUUAUUCCCAACUUUUCCCCCAUUUUUUCCCAUUUUUCCCUGAUUUUUUCCACAAUUUUUCCCCAUUUUUCUCCCAUUUUUUUCCCAUUUUUCCCCCAUUUCUCCCCCGAUUUUUUCCCGAAUUUUCCCCGUCUUUUUCCCAUUUCUCCCGUUUUUUCCCCCCAUUUUUUCCCCAUUUUUUUCCCGUUUUCCCCGUUUUUCCCAUUUCUCCCCCAUUUUUUUUCCCAUUUCUCCCCCGUUUUUUCCCUUUUUUCCCCUGAUUUUUUCCCAUUUCUCCCCCAACUUUUUCCCCGUUUUUUUCCCUAAUUUUUUCUCCAUUUUUCCCCCGUUUGUCCCCAUUUUUUCCUGGUUUUUUUCCCCUUUUUCCCCCGAU